GAAGCAUGAAGGCCAAGGGAAGAGACGGUUGUGGUGGCACAGAGAGGCUCAGUGGCCACUUGAACAAGGAGACUCUUCAUCUUUCUUAGCUGAAGUCAAGAAGCAGAUUGCUGAUUUAGUUACAUGGGAGCAGGUCGCUGAUGGCCUCAAAACAUCAUCCACAACCAUUAGAAGGAUAGCUGACAAUUCCCAAGGGAUUAACUUAGAUAACAAGUCCCCCUGCUGAGGAACAUCUCAAUCUCAUAGUCUCUGCCAUUCCAAUCCUGGAAGUUGGAGCUGUCCACAGUUGACUAAUUCUUUGCCAGACAUGUGGAUGAGCUGUAGAUAUCCAAGGAAUCAGAAUCCCAAUCCACAGAUGGCAGAAGAUCAAAAUCCAACAAGAUCAUCUUAGAUCAUCUGCUCCAAAUCUUCUUCCAACUCUCUAGGUGAUCUCAAUAUAUGUAUCUUAAGGGCACUAACGAUGAAGUAGUGACCAGUCCCCAUGAACGUUAAGAUGCAUGCAUCAAUUCCAGGGCCUGCUUCCAUGGUUUCAUCACCAUGAAUAGACUCGAGGACAGCUCCUGUCGGCUUAGCUUCUCUGUCAAGUGAGCUCAGUUGACCAUUGCCGAAGCUUUAAGCAGUGGGACUGUUUCCCAUAUUUACUUGAUGAUACAACAUGAACUUUGGCACAUAAGCCUUAGGCAAUCGUGGAUUUCUUGAUAUGAGUAUAUGAUUACCGAUGCUAUAGGGGAGGAUAUGAUGCCUUCUGAUUUGCUUCAUAAUUUUGAUCAAGUAAUAUGCUGAUUGUUUCAUAUGAUAAAGAUAUAUUACUUGGGACAGAUGCAAGAGAAUACCACCAAACGUUGCCACCCAAACUUGAGUCAACCACCGGCAAACCGUCUUCCUUGUGUACAAGCUUGCUUCGUCUUGCCUUGGCAUCCUUCCACCUUUUAAGCUACCUUUCUCCCACUUUAAUAGCUAGGAUAAGCCCCUCUGCACUCAUUUUGAUAUCAAAAAAGACAUCACCAUGUUCCUGGUGCUGAUAAAAAUGGCCAUGGCUCCACAUUUUCAUGCAGCACACAGCUCUCCAUGUUACCAUGCUGACCAUGUUCAGCCAUCCUGCCUCCUCGCUCCUCCUGCAUGCUUGCUUGUGUGCAUAAAUACCCAUGGGGAACUUGCACAGCAUGAGCUCUCAGCGUCUCAUGCACUCUUGUGUGCCUUGCGCCAUGGCCUAAGCUUCACCAUACACGGAGUGGAUC